rnacentral:rRNA from 1 species
AUGGAGGUGAGGUGCCUGCUGCUCCUGGCUGUCCUCCUCCUGGCGGGGGCUCAUGGCGGGGAGGCGCAGCCACUCGUGCCGGGGGUCUUUACCUUCGGCGACUCGUCGGUGGACAUAGGUAACAACGACUACCUCCACACCCUCAUCAAGGCGGACUUCCCUCCCUACGGCAGGGACUUCCCCAACCGUGUGGCCACCGGGAGGUUUUGCAACGGCAAGCUGGCCACCGACAUCACUGCUGAUACCCUGGGGUUUACUAGCUACCCGCCGGCGUAUCUCAGCCCGCAGGCGUCAGGGAAGAACCUUCUGAUCGGCGCCAACUUCGCGUCUGCUGGAUCCGGCUACUACGAUCACACGGCACUUAUGUAUCAUGCCAUCCCUUUCUCCCAACAAUUGGAGUACUUCAGGGAGUACCAGUCCAAGCUGACGGCGUUUGCUGGGAGCAGCCAGGCCAAGUCCAUCAUCAGCGGCUCGCUGUACAUCGUCAGCUUCGGUGCAAGUGACUUCGUCCAGAACUACUACAUCAAUCCUCUGCUCUUCAAGACCCAGACCGUCGACCAGUUCUCGGACCGCCUCGUCAGCAUCUUCGUCAACAGCGCGACACAACUUUACGGCAUGGGAGCGCGGCGCAUCGCGGUGACCACGCUGCCACCCCUGGGCUGCCUCCCCGCAGCGAUCACGCUGUUCGGGCACGGGAGCACCGGGUGCGUGUCGAGGCUCAACAGCGACUCCCAGAGGUUCAACGGGAAGAUGAGCGCCGCCGUCAGCUCGCUGGCGAAGCGGUACCACGACCUCAAGAUCGCCGUCUUCGACAUCUACACGCCCCUGUACAGCCUCGUCACCUCUCCUGGAGAUCAAGGGUUCACGGAGGCGAAGCGGGGAUGCUGCGGGACGGGGAAGGUGGAGUUCACGGUGUUCCUCUGCAACCCCAAGUCGGUGGGGACGUGCCCGAACGCGACGACCUACGUGUUCUGGGACGCCGUCCACCCAUCGGAGGCGGCCAAUCAAGUGAUCGCCGACGCGCUCCUCGUCACCGGCAUCGACCUCGUCACAUAA